UACGUAGGGCGCAAGCGUUGUCCGGAAUUAUUGGGCGUAAAGAGCUCGUAGGCGGUCUGUUGCGUCCGCUGUGAAAACCCGGGGCUUAACCCUGGGCUGGCAGUGGAUACGGACAGACUAGAGGUAGGUAGGGGAGAAUGGAAUUCCCGGUGUAGCGGUGAAAUGCGCAGAUAUCAGGAAGAACACCCGUGGCGAAGGCGGCUCUCUGGGACGGUACUGACGCUGAGACGCGAAAGCGUGGGGAGCGAACAGG
rnacentral:rRNA from 1 species